UUUCAAAAUGACCAAAAGACAUCCUAGGUACAAUGCCAUUUUCCAAAAAGAUAGAAACUUCACCAAUUUGAGUUCGGGGAUCGGCUUGUAUGCUGAGUCCUUAUACUUUCGUACCUAGCCUGCGCACGGAAACAAACCGUACGCUGAGAAUACUCUCAGUGGUAUUUCUAUAAACAAUAGCUUAAUCAACUUUAAAACAUGGUAAUUCAAACACAUUAUUGCUAUUAUUCAAUAUCAAUCAGUACUUUAAUAAUCUUUACUUUAUUUACCCUUAUUAACAUAACUCGGACACUGACGGAUACACGGAUCCAACCCACGCUCCGGGAUAAGCACAUAGUGCUUCAUCGGAACAAAUCCGGGACUUUAACAUUAUAGUACACAAAGUACUUCAUCGGAACAAAUCCGGAACUUUAACAGUAGUCGACACAUAGUGUCUCAUCGACUCAAUGUCGGAAUAUCCCAAUACUUCCAAUUCCUAUGACAUGUCAACUAUAUCCGACUAGCCCGACACUGCUAAUAGGGCAUUCAAAAUCACAUUCAUUUCAAUAUGGUAAAAAUACUUACCUCAUUCACAUUUUAAUACAAUAUAAAUAUCAAAUAUAGCAAUAACGAUUAAGCUCGGUUUAUAGAAAUACAAACCACUAUUUAUCGAAUUUAAUCGAUAUCUUCGUUCACUUUCUCUUUUCCCUUCUUUGAUGACGUAUCUGGUGCUACGUUUGCUACUAACAAUCAUACAAUUAAAAAUCAUCAAUAUACUAAUUCAUAAAACACAUUUUCACUUUCUAUCAAACUUUUACAAAAAUUCCAA
rnacentral:lncRNA from 1 species